rnacentral:rRNA from 1 species
ACAAGCGGUGGAGCAUGUGGUUUAAUUUCGAAGCAACGCGAAGAACCUUACCAGGCCUUGACAUGCAGAGAACUUUCCAGAGAUGGAUUGGUGCCUUCGGGAACUCUGACACAGGUGCUGCAUGGCUGUCGUCAGCUCGUAUCGUGAGAUGUUGGGUUUAAGUCCGUAACGAGCGCAACCCUUGUCCUUAGUUACCAGCACGUUAUGGUGGGCACUCUAAGGAGACUGCCGGUGACAAACCGGAGGAAGGUGGGGAUGACGUCAAGUCAUCAUGGCCCUUACGGCCUGGGCUACACACGUGCUACAAUGGUCGGUACAAAGGGUUGCCAAGCCGCGAGGUGGAGCUAAUCCCAUAAAACCGAUCGUAGUCCGGAUCGCAGUCUGCAACUCGACUGCGUGAAGUCGGAAUCGCUAGUAAUCGUGAAUCAGAAUGUCACGGUGAAUACGUUCCCGGGCCUU